rnacentral:rRNA from 1 species
UGGGGGAAACCCUGAUGCAGCGACGCCGCGUGAGUGAAGAAGUAUUUCGGUAUGUAAAGCUCUAUCAGCAGGGAAGAAAAUGACGGUACCUGACUAAGAAGCCCCGGCUAACUACGUGCCAGCAGCCGCGGUAAUACGUAGGGGGCAAGCGUUAUCCGGAUUUACUGGGUGUAAAGGGAGCGUAGGUGGUUCGGUAAGUCAGAUGUGAAAGCCCGGGGCUCAACCCCGGGACUGCAUUUGAAACUAUCGUACUAGAGUGCAGGAGAGGUAAGUGGAAUUCCUAGUGUAGCGGUGAAAUGCGUAGAUAUUAGGAGGAACACCAGUGGCGAAGGCGGCUUACUGGACUGUAACUGACACUGAGGCUCGAAAGCGUGGGGAGCAAACAGGAUUAGAUACCCUGGUAGUCCACGCUGUAAACGAUGAAUACUAGGUGUCGGGGCCCUUCCGGGCUUCGGUGCCGCAGCUAACGCAAUAAGUAUUCCACCUGGGGAGUACGUUCGCAAGAAUG